GCUCAGAUCGUCUAUCGGUUAGGACGUAAGCUUAACACGCUUGCAAGCUGGGUUCGAUUCCCAGUCCGAGUA
rnacentral:tRNA from 1 species